AUUGAACGCUGGCGGCAUGCCUUACACAUGCAAGUCGAACGGCAGCAUGAUCUAGCUUGCUAGAUUGAUGGCGAGUGGCGAACGGGUGAGUAAUACAUCGGAACGUGCCCUGUAGUGGGGGAUAACUAGUCGAAAGAUUAGCUAUUACCGCAUACGACCUGAGGGUGAAAGUGGGGGACCGCAAGGCCUCAUGCUAUAGGAGCGGCCGAUGUCUGAUUAGCUAGUUGGUGAGGUAAAGGCUCACCAAGGCGACGAUCAGUAGCUGGUCUGAGAGGACGAUCAGCCACACUGGGACUGAGACACGGCCCAGACUCCUACGGGAGGCAGCAGUGGGGAAUUUUGGACAAUGGGCGAAAGCCUGAUCCAGCAAUGCCGCGUGUGUGAAGAAGGCCUUCGGGUUGUAAAGCACUUUUGUCCGGAAAGAAAUGGCUCUGGUUAAUACCUGGGGUCGAUGACGGUACCGGAAGAAUAAGGACCGGCUAACUACGUG
rnacentral:rRNA from 1 species